UUUCGCUUCACUGUACAACCUGCAUGCAGUCAAGGUGUGUCAGUUACUGCGUUUAUCUCUCUCACUUUGCCCUUGAACGUCCAGGCUCAGGCAACAUGGCCGCGUGUGUGACCUCGAGGUUAUAUGGAAACUCAAAUUUGUUGACGUGUUGUUUUUUUAUGUCUGGGACCAAGUGUGUGGCAAUGUGGGCGUGUGGAACGGCGUCAAAUAUCUGUUGUCCCCGCCAUGUUAGGCCUUGGAUCAGAUAUGUUGGAGGUGACAGUGUUUAGGAGAUGAUCAACAGAUGAGGGGAGGAGGAAGAGGGAAGGAGGGAAAUAAUUAAUGAAAAAAAAAAUGAAUAUAAGAAGGAAAGUAUCGUCCCCGUCAUGUUAGGCUUUGUAUGGAGUAUGUAAAAGGUAACAAUAUAUAGGAAACGAUCGCCAGUUGACAGGAAGAAGAGGGAGGAAACUGGAAGAAGGAAAAAAAUAAAACAGGAAAACAGCGAGAAGGAAAAUAUAUGUUGUCUCCGUCAUGUUAGGCUUUGUAUGGAGUAAGUAAAAGAUAGCAAUAUAUAGGAAACGAUCGCCAGUUGACAGGAAGAAGAGGGAGGAAAACGGAGGAAGGAAAAAAUGAAAACGGUAAGGAAAACAGCGAGAAGGAAAAUAUAUCUUGUACCCGCCAUGUUAGGCUUUGUAUGGAGUAAGUAAAAGAUAGCAAUGUAUAGGAAACGAUCGCCAGUUGACAGGAAGAAGAGGGAGGAAAACGGAGGAAGGAAAAAAAUUAAAACGGUAAGGAAAACAGCGAGAAGGAAAAUAUAUCUUGUCCCCGUCAUGUUAGGCUUUGUAUGGAGUAUGUAAAAGAUAACAUGUGUAGGAAAGAAUCGCCAUUUGACAGAAGGAAAAGGAAAGAAGGAAUAUCAAAUCAAAGCACAAAUCGAACCAAAAAGGAAAAUAUGUGUUGUCCCCGUUAUGUUAGACUUUGAAUUUGAUCUGUAAUGAGAAUGUGUUAAGAAUGAUCGCCUGGAAAGAGGAGGAGGAGGGAAGAAGGGAAGAAAAAAAAGGACACAAGAAGAAAAGAAAAUUAAGGAAAAAAGGAAAACAAGAAGGAAUUGAAGAAGGGAAAGAAAAUAUAAUGUGACGAUAAGAAUAGAAAUAAAGAGGAAGAAGAACAAGAACGAUUCCUUAAGCCAUAGAAGUGUAUAGAUCAUUGUGUAGACGAUCUUAUGAGGUGGAGGGGAAGAAAUGAAGAAGAAAACAAGAAGAAGAAGAAAAAGAAAAUAGAAAGCAAGGAUAGGAAUAAAGAGGAACAAGAAUAAAAAAAAGAACAAUAUCCUGACCCAUAGAAGUAUAUAGAUCUUUGUGCAAACGAUCUUAUAAGGUGGAAGGGAAGCAGGGAAGAAGAAAACAAGAAGGAGAAGAAGGAAAAGAAAAUAGAAAGCGAGGAUAAGAAUAGGAAAAAGAGGAACAAGAACAAGACCAUUCCCCUUUGUGUAGACGAUCUUAUAAGGUGGAAGCGAAGCAGGAAGGAAAACAACAACAGGAAGGAGAAGAAGGAAAAGAAAAUAGAAAGCGAGGAUAAGAAUAGGAAUAAAGAGGAACAAGAAUAAAAACAAGAACAAUUUCCAAACACAUAGAAGCAUAUAGAUUGAGCAGGCGUUCUCAUGUGGUGGAGGGAGAGUCUGUUAUAGUGAAGCCAAAUUGUCGAGUCCCUUUCGGCGCUGGCUCCCGCGGGUCCAUUUCUCCCCUCUGCUCUGCCACACAGUCCCAACACCUAUUUUUUCCUCUCAUAUGUUACCUAUAGCUUACAUAUGAGAGGAAGAGAUAGGUGUUGGGAUUGUGUGGCAGAGCAGAGGGGAGGAAAAGACCCGCGGGAGCCUACGCCAGACCGGCCUCGACAUAUUCGGAAGACUAUAGUUCGUUCGUUUGUAUAGACAUCCGUUUUUUCUGGGCAGUGAGUGUCUCCAUUAACUAAAGCUGUCUACAGAUCCCUGAUAAGAUAAUGUCCACUAAAGGUUAAGAAAGAGGGUUUUUUUUAUGGCUGGGAAGGGAGAGAGUGAAAGUAAAGUGAAGUGGAAGAGGAAGAAGAAGUGGAAGACGGAGAAAAAGAAGAAAAAGCGAGAUGGUGAAAGUGAAGUGGAAGACGAAGAAAAAGAAGAAAAAGGGAGAUGGUGAAAGUAAAGUGAAGUGGAAGAGGAAGUGGAAGACGAAGAAAAAGAAGAAAAAGGGAGAUGGUGAAAGUAAAGUGAAGUGGAAGAGGAAGUGGAAGACGAAGAAAAAGAAGAAAAAGGGAGAUGGUGAAAGUGAAGUGGAAGAGGAAGUGGAAGACGAAGAAAAAGAAGAAAAAGGGAGAUGGUGAAAGUGAAGUGGAAGAGGAAGUGGAAGACGAAAAAAAUGAAGAAAAAGGGAGAUGGUGAAAGCGAAGUGAAGUGGAAGAGGAAGAAGAGGAAGUGGAAGACGAAAGGCAAGAAGAAAAAGAGGAAGAAGAAAAUAAAAAAAGAGGAAGAAGAAAAUAAGGAAGAAGAAAAAGAAAAAAAAGAGGAAUAAGAAAAAAAGAAAAACGAAAAGGAAAAAAAGAAAAAGGAGAAAAAGAAAAGAGAAACAAGAAGAAGAAGAAUACGAACAACAGCAGCAACAACAAACAAAAAAAAACGUGUAUAUUAACUAGCAGCAUCUUGUAAUAUCUGAAACACAUAUUCUCAAACAUUUCUGGGCUCACAAACCUACACUGGACAAGGCUUCCGUAGAGGUUGUGUCAGUAUUUCAUUAGGUAGAAGUCUUAUGAGCCUAGUAAUAGUUUGACAAGGCUUCUGUAGAGGUUGUAUUAGUAUUUCAUUAGGAAGAAGUUUAAUGAGCCUAGUGAUAAUUUGACAAGGCUUCCGUAGAGGUUGUAUUAGUAUUUCAUUAGGUAGAAGUCUAAUGAGCCUAGUAAUAGUUUGACAAGGCUUCCGUAGAGGUUGUGUUAGUAGUUUGACAAGGCUUCCGUAGAGGUUGUAUUAGUAUUUCAUUAGAAAGAAGUCUAAUGAGCUUAGUAAUAGUUUGACAAGGCUUCCGUAGAGGUUGUAUUAGUAGUUUGACAAGGUUUGUAGAGGUUGCGUUACUAUAUCCAUGGGUACUAGUUUGACAAGGCUUCUGCACCGUGCAUGUAAGAAAACACUCAUUAGAACCCGACUAACCUCCUUCGUGACCUUUGAAAUAUUGGUUGGUAAAGGUUGUGUUAGUAUUUCCAUGGGUAGUAGUUUUACGAGCCAAGUGAUAGUUUGAAAAGGCUUCUGCACCAUGAACUUGAAAAACACUCAUAAGAACGUGGCUAACCUUUUUGACCUUUGGAAAUGUUGGUUGGUCAAGGUUGUGUUAGUGUUUCCAUGUGUAGUAUUUUAAUGAGCCUAGUGAUAGUGUGACAAGGCUUCUGAACCGUGAACUUGAAAAACACUAAUGAGAAUCCGACUAAUCUUGUGGCCUUGGGAAAUAUUGGUUGGUAAAGGUUGUGUUAGUAUUUCCAUGUGUAGUAUUUUAAUGAGCCAGGUGAUAGUGUGACAAGGCUUCUGCACCGUGAACUUGAAAAACACUAAUGAGAAUCCGACUAAUCUUGUGGUCUUGGGAAAUAUUGGUUGGUCAAGGUUGUGUUAGUAUUUUCAUGGGUAGUAGUUUUAAGAGCCUAGUGAUAGUGUGACAAGGCUUCUGAACCGUGAACUUGAAAAACACUAAUGAGAAUCCGACUAAUCAUGUGGCCUUGGGAAAUAUUGGUUGGUAAAGGUUGUGUUAGUAUUUUCAUGGGUAGUAGUU